UACUGAGACACGGACCAGACUCCUACGGGAGGCAGCAGUGAGGAAUAUUGGACAAUGGGCGCAAGCCUGAUCCAGCCAUGCCGCGUGCAGGAAGAAGCAUCUAUGGUGUGUAAACUGCUUUUGUACGGGAAGAAACACUCCGACGUGUCGGAGCUUGACGGUACCGUAAGAAUAAGGAUCGGCUAACUCCGUGCCAGCAGCCGCGGUAAUACGGAGGAUCCAAGCGUUAGCCGGAAUCAUUGGGUUUAAAGGGUCCGUAGGCGGUUUAAUAAGUCAGUGGUGAAAGCCCAUCGCUUAACGAUGGAACGGCCAUUGAUACUGUUAGACUUGAAUUAUUAGGAAGUAACUAGAAUAUGUAGUGUAGCGGUGAAAUGCUUAGAUAUUACAUGGAAUACCAAUUGCGAAGGCAGGUUACUACUAAUGGAUUGACGCUGAUGGACG
rnacentral:rRNA from 1 species